rnacentral:rRNA from 1 species
UACGAAGGGGGCGAGCGUUGUUCGGAUUUACUGGGCGUAAAGGGCGCGUAGGCGGCCCUCCUAGUCGUGUGUGAAAGCCCCGGGCUCAACCUGGGAAUUGCGCGCGAAACGGGGGGGCUUGAGUUCGGGAGAGGAGCGUGGAAUUCCCAGUGUAGAGGUGAAAUUCGUAGAUAUUGGGAAGAACACCGGUGGCGAAGGCGGCGCUCUGGACCGAGACUGACGCUGAGGCGCGAAAGCGUGGGGAGCAAACAGG